rnacentral:rRNA from 1 species
UACGAAGGGGGCUAGCGUUGCUCGGAAUUACUGGGCGUAAAGGGAGCGUAGGCGGACAUUUAAGUCAGGGGUGAAAUCCCUCGGCUUAACCGGGGAACUGCGUCUGAUACUGGAUGGCUGGAGUUUGGGAGAGGGAUGCGGAAUUCCAGGUGUAGCGGUGAAAUGCGUAGAUAUCUGGAGGAACACCGGUGGCGAAGGCGGCAUCCUGGACCAAUACUGACGCUGAGGAGCGAAAGCCAGGGGAGCAAAGCGGG